rnacentral:rRNA from 1 species
UACGUAGGGUGCAAGCGUUAAUCGGAAUUACUGGGCGUAAAGCGUGCGCAGGCGGUUUUGUAAGUCUGUCGUGAAAUCCCCGGGCUCAACCUGGGAAUUGCGAUGGAGACUGCAAGGCUAGAAUCUGGCAGAGGAGGGUAGAAUUCCACGUGUAGCAGUGAAAUGCGUAGAGAUGUGGAGGAACACCGAUGGCGAAGGCAGCCCCCUGGGUCAAGAUUGACGCUCAUGCACGAAAGCGUGGGGAGCAAACAGG